rnacentral:rRNA from 1 species
UACGUAGGGCGCAAGCGUUAUCCGGAAUUAUUGGGCGUAAAGAGCUCGUAGGCGGUUUGUCGCGUCUGCCGUGAAAGUCCGGGGCUCAACUCCGGAUCUGCGGUGGGUACGGGCAGACUAGAGUGAUGUAGGGGAGACUGGAAUUCCUGGUGUAGCGGUGAAAUGCGCAGAUAUCAGGAGGAACACCAAUGGCGAAGGCAGCUCACUGGGACGGUACUGACGCUGAGACGCGAAAGCGUGGGGAGCGAACAGG